GUUACCGUCAAAAUGAUAAUCAUAGAAGCGAGAAGAGGAUCAUGCCCCUCAUUGCGUUAUAUGUUUUUUAUUUUCUUUGGUGUUAUUGCUGUAGCCUUGUGGUUUCUUGGUGUGUCACACAUUUUGUAUGUUUCUGUGUGUGUGUGUGUGUAUCUGUGUGUGUGUGCGCGCUACGCUGUCUUUGUUUGACAGCCAGGCAAGCAAUUGCAACACUGUCUGUAUAAUGGGCAUGUCAUUAAGAUUGUGUUUGAAUCUGGGUCUUGUGUUGUCUGUGCUUUCAUGUCUCUGGGUGAUGAUUUUCUUCUCCGGUAUGAUUAGGGGUGAGAGUGUGCAUGGAGGGAUUGUCAGUUAUGGGGCCCGUGUUGCUGUAGGUGUAUGAACUAAUAUCAACACGUGCGUGUGUUUCUUUGCGUGCGCGAAUGCAUGUGUGUGGGUGCGUGAGUGUUUGCCGAGCUGCUCCUCCCGCUCGUGGCAGUUGCUCACUAACGUGCGAGAUUCUGAUGCUGCAGUAGAGUCGGGCUUUUUCAGAACGCCCCAGGGUCUGAGCCCCCUCGGUCCUCCUCCGUUGUGACCGUGAGCGACCGCUCACACCCCACAGCGGCAUGCGUUGGUGCCUGCCCUACUUCCAUGCCAUCAGAACCGGAGAUUCCGGUGAUGCUUCCUACAGGAGCGGCUUUCCGAUGGUUCCAGUAGGACUGUGACCCUCCUCCAACCCUAACCCCAUCCCACCCAAACCCAAAGCUCUGCGAUCAAGUGCAAUGCCAACUCUCGCUUGGAUUGUCUCGGGCACGGACACUGGCUGACAAGCAAACAAACAAACAGACAGCAAAAGAAAAAAAAUGAAAAAUUAAGCAAAAAUAAUCAAUCGAUUAAUGGAUGCACCUACUUAUUCCUUGAACCAAAAAUUAAACAUAAAGAAAAAAAUCUAUGGCAACUUUCAUUCCCUUUUCUAUGUUUCCAUUUUGGUACCUUUUGUCCUUUUUCCAGCAGGUUUUUUCUGUCGCUUCGACAUGGAACUGUUCAUUGCCAAACAGAAAUGACGGACUGAGUGUGGACAAUCAACUAAUUUCUGUGUUUGGUGUUAAUGUUGUUCACGUGUGGAAAGAUACAGUACUUGUGUAGAGAAUGUAAAUUUACGGCUAUAUUUUAAAACUAGUGGCUAAUGGCAAGCACUAUUGUAAUUUAGCACCAUUGUUCUUACUUAAACCCUUGUCUAUUUUAUGAUUUAUAUUGUUUUAAGAAUAUCAUUUUGAAACGGAUCAUUGGUUGUCUUUUAAAAGAAAAUGGAAUUGUUUCAAAAUGUAAAAAAAAUACUGAUUUCUUAUUGAAAUGAAAAAACUACUCUCAUCCCAUUCAGCAGAGGUCCGAGUUACUUUUUUUUUUUGCCCGAUGACGCUAUCUACCAGAGAAUUCACUGGAAUCUCCCCAAUUGCCCGAACCAACCAAUAACCGUGUUUUUCACGCCUGUAUUUUCGAGCAUUUUAUUUUGUGAAACUGACAGCCUUACGUUCCUGUGGCCCAAACAAGUGUGUCAUGAGUGUGACAUCACAGAGGGCAACAACACUAGGAGACAGCACUUGCUCUGAGUCUACCCAUUUGAACCCACUUGCUCUGAGUCUACCCAUUUGAACCCACUUGCUCUGAGUCUACCCAUUUGAACGCACUGAAACAAGAUUUUUUUUAAUGUUUUUUUCCAUCCAUGUUGCUGAUAGUUACAUCUUUUAAAAACAACAGCGAUGUGUUUGUAUUCAUUUAGAAAAAUUGGACUGGUUUUGUGAAUAAAAACGAAUGCAUGUAUUUGUGUCAAAAUUUACAGUUCUGAUGUUUGUCUACUUGUCUUUGCAUGUUUUUUUUUUCUAAAACAACCGCUGACUUGAAAAAAUUCUAAAGUAUGAAUAUGUCCGGAAAUCUUUCAAAUUUGUUCCCUUUUCAUAUCAUUGGAUAUAAUAACAAUAAUAAUAAUAAAAAAGUGAUGGGAUGAGACAACACAUUAAAGCAGAAUCAGG
ensembl:lncRNA